GACCCGCGUCUGAUUAGCUAGUUGGUGGGGUAACGGCCCACCAAGGCGACGAUCAGUAGCCGACCUGAGAGGGUGAUCGGCCACAUUGGGACUGAGACACGGCCCAAACUCCUACGGGAGGCAGCGGUGGGGAAUAUUGCACAAUGGGGGAAACCCUGAUGCAGCAACGCCGCGUGAGUGAAGAAGUAUUUCGGUAUGUAAAGCUCUAUCAGCAGGGAAGAAAAUGACGGUACCUGACUAAGAAGCCCCGGCUAACUACGUGCCAGCAGCCGCGGUAAUACGUAGGGGGCAAGCGUUAUCCGGAUUUACUGGGUGUAAAGGGAGCGUAGACGGCAGCGCAAGUCUGAAGUGAAAGCCCGGGGCUCAACCCCGGAAUGGCUUUGGAAACUGUGCAGCUAGAGUACCGGAGGGGUAAGCGGAAUUCCUAGUGUAGCGGUGAAAUGCGUAGAUAUUAGG
rnacentral:rRNA from 1 species